AUUGAACGCUGGCGGCAGGCCUAACACAUGCAAGUCGAACGAGCGGCGGACGGGUGAGGAAUGUAUGGGGACUGCCCGUUAGAGGGGGAUAACAAAUGGAAACGGUGGCUAAAACCGCAUAAUAUCGGAUAACCCAGAUGGGAUUAGAUAGUAGGUGGGGUAAAGGCUCACAUAGGCGACGAUCGCUAGCUGGUCUGAGAGGAUGAUCGGCCACACUGGAACGGAGACACGGCCCAGACUCCUACGGAGGCAGCAGUGGGGAAUAUUGCACAAUGGGCGCAAGCCUGAUGCAGCCAUGCCGCGUGUAUGAAGAAGGCCUUAGGGUUGUAAAGUACUUUCAGCGGGGAGGCGUUACCCGCAGAAGAAGCACCGGCUAACUACGUGCCAGCAGCCGCGGUAAUUC
rnacentral:rRNA from 1 species